UUAAGUUUAAACCAAAUGCCCUACAGUUUCAAGCUUGGCUCAUAACCAGUUUGCAGUGAGCCCUGCCCUUCAUGUAAGGCCGUAAAGAAUCAAAAGAUCUUUCAAAAAUCUGCUUUUAUCCAUUUGCUUACCAUUCAGUAUCACCCAGGCAGUCACUACUGCCAAUAACUGAUGUAACUUAGUCAGCUUGUACUUCCCCCAAUGGGGUCGAUGCAACCGCAUUUGAGCAGCAUAGAGCAUCCAGUAAAACUCACCUACUAUUUCAUUUGCUCAGUAAAUUACAUGUGUAAGUUAAGAAGAUUCCAGCAGUCAUUAAUAUCUCAGUAUUUAGAAGUUCAAAAUAAGAACAAGUCCCACAAAGACAAUUCUCCAAAGGAACACUGCUGUAAUGGACGUGCACCUUGAGGCACCACAGACUCACCACAUACAGUAACACAAACAUUACUGUAAUCUGAUAGACGGUUUAUUAUUGAUAAUUCUAUCCGUGUAAUGAGGUUACACAAGCUCCUACCUCUCCUAGGCCAAAACCCUCCCCAAACUAACUGAAGAAAGCCAGAAACAGCUACAUUACCAAGAAUCACAAUGCUAUCACAGUAAUCCUACAGUAAAAAUGAGAAGGAACUUUCAUUCUCAACGACUUCUUUUACAACACAACACUUUGCUACAUGCUUCUCAGCUUUUCAACUUAGAUUUCUCUCUCCUUGUUUUUUUAAUUGGCACUUGGAACAAAAAAAUAACAGCAGCAACAAGAACCAUAAAACAGGAAUCAUUUCUAAUAGAUUAUUCUCAUAGAUUCACAGAUAACAUCUUUUAUUAAAAUAAAAACACUUCUCCUGCUCAGCCUUUUGGCAGCACAGCAGAACGCUCUUCCUUUAACCACACAGCAUAAAUAGGCUUUUUUACAUUGGAGAACUUUAACAUGCAGACCAUAUUUAGUCCAGCUCUAAUACUUCCUAAGCAGGUGCUCCAAUUACCAAACAAUUAAGGGCAAUCAUACUGGCUGUCACAAAGGCUGAUGAGACUCCUGAUAGUGAAUGGAGAAUGCUUCAGUCCAGAGGGGUGGUCAGAACAAGAGCCUGACCUUACAUGCUUUUCUCCACUGACUCAGGGUGGCUGAGGAAGACCACCACAGAGCAAAGUCAAAGCCUCCUGCUUUAUGAUAGCUCCUCUGAAUCACCUCCUAGCAAACACAGGAACAAACUGGUGGCAGCAAUGGCACAUAUACAGCACAUAUAUACAGCACAUACAUCAGAGCUGGCAUACAGUUGUCAAAGCAAAGUCAGCCCAAACCCCUCUAUCUCCAACGUUGCUGCCAUCCAGAAAACAAGUUAAGUACAUACUAGUAGAAGGUAGGCACCAUAUCAGACUCUUCAGCAACAUCAAAAGGUACCACAAGCUUCUCAGAAGAGCCAUACUGGGAAAAAGAGUUGCACAAAGAUAAAAUUACCAAAAGCUCCUCUCCUUUCUUGUUUUCUCCCCUGGUUACAUAAAGGCAGCUGUGGCUGCCACCUUCUGUGCUGAAAUCAACUCCUGAAUAAAUGAUCUUGGCACAAAGAGCCUGAGUUUGUGGCACCAAGCUCUUCACCCACUGGAGCAUAAGAUCUGUAACUGGAGCCCUAGGCAUCUAUGGAACUUCAGUGGCAAAGACUGGAGUGUUGGUAUUUUGUCAGGUGGCCACACAACUAAAGGGAGAUGGUAAAUGUUAAGAGUAAUAACUGACUGUCAUCAGUUACUGACUCACAAGUAAGCCAUUCCUACAACCAUAACUGAGAUUCAAUUCCAUGGGCACCCCUCUUUUUGCAAACAUUAAUUUAUGCUGUUCAACUCACUGUAGCUGACACACAUUUUUUCCAAAAGACCUUUAAGCUUCCACAAACGAUGGCUGAUAGUAAAUACAUUAAGAAGUUGUAAGUAUUUCAGUUUUAGUUUAUAAUUCCAGUAACUGCACAUUUCUGGACUUCUUUCCGACAUGCUACAACGGCAAACGUUAAACCAAAGCUCCUUUCAAUACAGAACUUAUGAACUGAGAAAGGUAUUUUCUUUACACAAUAAACAGAAUCACACAGAAUCUCAGAAUCAAAAGGUUGGAAACAACCUGCAAGAUCAUCUAGUCCAACCACCCUCUCAUUCCUAUUAGUACCACAAGCUACUAAACCAUAUCUCGUAGCUUUAUCAUGUAUUAAACUAUCAUGUAUUGACCAGUUUUGAGUAACUUGACAACAUUCAGAUUUUCCAGCAAGGAUUCCUUACAAAUUAUGCCUGAAGCUCAGACAGCACCAAAACCCAAUUUUGCAGAAAACACUUCUUUCUUAUAUCCAACCUUAAUCUGCCCUUCUUUAAUACAAAAUCAUCUCCCUUUGUCCUACUCCUGUGAAAGAGCCUGUUCCCUUCUUUCUUACAGCCCCCCUUUAGACACCGACAGGCUGCUCUCCCUGGAGCCUUCAGGCUGCACAGCCCCAGCUCUCUCAGCCUGUCCUCACGGGAGAGGUGUUCCAUUCCUUGGAUCAUUUUUGUGGCCCUCCUCUGGAUAUGCUCUACCAGCUCCAUGUCCCUCCUGUACUGAGGACUCCACAUCAGGUCACAGUACUCCAGGUGAGGUCUUACAGCACAGAGCAAAGGCACAGGAUCACCCCCUUGCCCUGCUGACACUGCAUUAGAUGCAACCCAGGAUACAGUAGGCUUUCUGGGUUGUGAGGACACACUGGCUCACGUCCAGCUACCAGCCACCAGUAUUCCUAGGUCUUUUCAGCAGGGCUGUGCUCCAUCCUUACAUUUCCCAGCUUGUACAGAUAGCAAGGGUUGCCACGAACCACGUGCAGAUUGGAAAUUGGACUUAUUGAACCUCAUGAGGUUCUCCUGGGCUCAUUGCUUAGCCUGUCCAGAUCUCUCUGGAUGGCAUCCCAUCCCUUGGACACGUUGACUGCACCACACAGCUUGGUGUCAUCCGCCAACUGCUGAGGGUGCACUCGAUCCCACUGUUGAUGUCAGUGAUGGAAAUGUUAAAAAGCACUGGUUCUCACCACCAUUUUAAGCCACUGACCACCACUGAUCUUGCAACCAGUUCCUUGUCCAUCAAACAGUCCAUGUAUCAGAUCCAUAUCUUUCCAACUUGGAGAGAAAGAUGUUAUGGGGGACUGUGUCAAAGGCCUUACUGAAGUCCAGAUAGAUGACAUCAGUGGCUCUUCCCUUGUCCAUUGUCACAGCUAGGCCAUCAUAGAAGGCCACAAAGUCGGUCAGGCAGGAUCUGCCCUUAGAGAAGCCAAGCCAGUUAUCCUGUAUCACCUCCCAGCCUUCCACGUGCCUUAGCACAGCUUCCAGGAGAAUCUGCACCAUGAUCUACAGUGGAACAGAAGUGAAACUGACAGGUUGAUUUCUACAUCUAAAUACGUCUUACUUCUCACUGCACUUUCCACGGCCUAAAUCAACUCAUGCAACUAUUGCUUUACCAGCACACAGAUUCUGCUUGGAAUUUGGAACUUGAAUACCUCACCACUUCUGCUUAGGAUGCUCUACCAUUGAUCACCAACUCACUGACAGCUGCUCAUCACAAAGGUUGCAAGUCAAUGGAUGCAGUACUCCAGAUGGGGCCUCAUGAGUGCAGAGUCAAGAGAGACAAUGACCUCCCUUGCUCUGCUGCCAGUCCUCUUUUGAUUCAGCCCUGGGUAUGGUUGGCCUCCAGGGCUGCAAAUCACAUUCAGUUUAAUGUGACCCGGGGUACUGUUAGCCCUCUUGGCCACAAGAGUACACUGCUGGCUCAUGGACGACCUGUCAUCCACCAGGAUUCCUAUGUUCUCUGCAGGGCUACUCUCAAUGAGUUCUUCUCCUAGCCUGUAUGCCUAUACAGGACUGCCCAGACUCAAGUGCAACACCUUGCAGUUCGCAUUGCUGAACCUUGCUUGGUUCAUGUGGGCCUACUUUUUACGUCCAUCCAAGUCCUUUCUUUCUGUUGUGUCAACUGCACCACUCAGCUUGGUGUCAUCAGCAAACAUUCUGAGGGUGCACUCAAACCCAUCACCUAUGUCACUGACAAAGAUGUUGAACGUCACUGGUCCCAAGUCAGACCCUUGGAGGACACCACUCCAUGACCAACUUCAAUUGGGACAUAGAGCCAUUCAAAACCUUUCACUUCACAGAAUCACAGAAUGGCCAGAGUUGUAAGGGACCUCAAGGAUCAUGAAGCUGCAACCCCCCUGCCACCAACCUCCCCAUUUAAUACUAGACCAAGCUGCCCAGGGCCCCAUCCAAUCCGGCCUUGAACAUCUCCAGGGAUGGACAGGGUAUCACAGCCUCUCUGGGCAGCUGUUCCAGCACCUCACCACUCUCUCUGUAAAGAAUUUUGCCCUGACAUCCAACCUAAAUCCUCCCUCCCUCAUCUUCAAAACAUUUCCCCUUGUCCUGCAGUUAUCUACCCUUUCAAAGAAUUGAUUCCCCUCCUGUUUGUAGUCUCUCUUUAGGUACUGAAAGGCUGCAAUGAGGUCACUACUCAACCUUCUUUUCUCCAGACUGAACGAGCCCAGCUCCCUCAGCCUGUCUUCAUAGGGGAGAUGCUCCAGUCCCCUGAUCGUCUUUGUGGCUCCUCUGGACCCUCUCCAACAGCUCCCUGUCUUUCUUGUACUGGGAGCUCCAGACUUGGACACAGUACAGCAAAUGGGGCUCCACAAAAGCAGAGUAGAGGGGGACAAUCACCUCCCUGUCCCUGCUGGCCACCCCUCUUCUGAUGGAGCUCAGGGUUCCAUUUGCUUUCCAAUGUGCAAGAGCACACUGCUAGCUCAUGUUAUGUUUUUCAUCCAUCAGGACCCCCAGGUAUUUCUCUGCAGGGCUGAUUGCGACCAUCCAACCAAUUCUUUAUCCAUUCAAUUGUCUGGGCAUUGAGCCAUUCUGCCAUUUAUGAAAUGACUGAGACUGGAGACACUCCAGGGUCCUCCGAACCCAACCCUGCCCCAGCAGAGCCCCCUACAGCAUGGCAUCCAGAGGGGUUUUGAGGGAGGGCACUUCAAAACCUCUCUAAGCACCACUUGGCAUGGAAUGGGCUAUUGAUGAGCACGGGACACCUGUCAAAGCAAGGCAUCCUCAGAGUCAAGCAACCCUUCACUCCCUCACACCCUAGCACCCUCUCACAGUGCCGUUUAGAGGCAGGCACGCCCUCCCUCACAUUCCUCUUACAUCCAACCUCCCCCCACUCCUCACAAACACAACCCCCACAUGCAGGGGUGCAGCGGGAGCAGCGAACGGCCGCCUCGACGCAUGCGCAGCAGCGCUCCCGCCUCCCGCCGCGGGCCGGAGGGUCCCGCAGAGCCCCGCCCCUCGGGCACCACAGAGCGGGCGGCCGCCGCCAGGAGGAGAAGCGGGCGGCUCCUGACAGUGAAGUCUUCCCGCCUAGGUGAGGAGGAGCACGGAAAAAAGGAGGAGGGAGGGAGCGAGCCGCCUCCCAGCCGGGGUGUCAGGCCGGGAUGCGAGGGGAGAAGCGAGGCACGGUGCCCGCUCCCUCCUCCCCGCCGCUCCCCGGUUGUUUUUCCCGAUCUGGGCUCUCACCUGACCGGGUCCCGGGGAAAGCGGAAGAAGGCCAGGAAGGCAGUAGCAUGGACUGAAUGGAUAUUAAGACAAACCAAGAGCUGGGCAUUGAGUGUUGGAAAGUAAUCGAAACAAGGAGCGUACCUGCUCUGAAGACUUCAUCUCUCUCAUUGGCAAAAACAGAAUUGAGUUUGGAAAAAAAAAAAAAAAAACAACAGAGUAAAAAUCUGAAAAGUUAAGAGGAUAGAGGAAAGGCUCAGACAUGAAAUAUGUUCUGCUCAUAGUGAGAGAAAGCACAGCCAUUCUGAAAAGCAUAUAUGAUGUCCAGCAAGAGUUGUUAAAAUGCAGUAGUUCUCCUUUGCUAUGGACAUCUCUUAUAGAGUUUUGAAGACACACAGCAUUCUGACAGAUAAAUGUGAUGGGAUUUUGGAAGCGUAAGCUAAAGAAACGAAAUAAGCAAAGUAUUUCAAACCAGUUUAUUAAUUUUUUUUUUUUUUUUUAAAUCAUUUGGUUCCUUUUGGAUGGCCUUAAAACUUUUUUAUUUUUUAUCCAGCUUUUUUUUUUAUUUGGUGUGAGAAGAAUUGUUUGUUAAAUAAGGAAGCCUUAUUAACAAGUGCCCUUCAAACUGCAAAUCUCAAAGUACAUCUCAUUUGGAUUGAUAAAAUAGCAUGAGUUUAUGUGAUGUUAAUUCCUUACCAGAAUUUUGGCUAUGCCAUUUAGCUCUAUUCAUACUUUUUGAGUAGUUUCAGCUGAGGCUGAAGAUGUGUUUAGCUGUACCUAAUUGCUCUCAUUGUCUAGACAAUCAUCAACAUUUAUAUCCAGUGAACUGUUUAAGGGAAUUAAUCAGAUCAGAAAUAGCUUUUUUUGAUUCUUAAAUACACAAAUUUAUCUCAGAUUAGUUUUAAUUCAGGUUAAUUUGUUUGAUUUGCUUUGCAGAUUGCAUAAAUGCUCAUGCUGAUGUAGGGAAAUACACAAGAGAGCAGGAUCAUUUUCAAUCACAGUAGUGGUUUAGCAGCAUGACUGUGUUAUAUUAGCUUGAAGCUUCCUAAUUUAAAACACUUUUAAACCUGUUUCAGUAUGAAAAAAAUGCCUCUUUUCCCUUAACUAGUAAUGGCAGUGCUCAUAUAUUUUGCCAAGGAUUGAAGGGCCCUUUUUCCCUUCAAUACUGAUCCAUCAGAAAAGGGAAUUGCGUGCAGAAAUUAAGACUCCGAAAAGCCAAACCAGAAGACUACAGUGAUAUUAAAAAUAAACUAACUGUGGUAUAUAUUUCCCAAUGGCAACUUCUGAUUGAAGUAUCACCAUACAAGAAUGUUAUAGCUGUUACUGUAUUUUUAUUUUUUUAAACUAUCCUCUGGGUUAUUCAAAUGUUGUUCACAACGUAUUUCCAACCUUAUUUGUAUAACUGAAUAGAGAUCAUGUGCUGUGUUAAAUGUGUUAUGCAGGUAAUCUGUAUCAUCCAAAUAAGUUAUUAAAGGAAUUCUGUCUGUUCA